GGCUGGGCAUGAGUGCUGGCAUAUAUUAGCUGAGCUGAGCUAAGCUGAUGUCUGUCACCACGUUAGCUCUAGAAUUACUCUGAAGCCCA
rnacentral:snoRNA from 1 species